GUAGUGUUACGAUUUUACAUUCUAGCAAUGUUAGUACUUGGAUGGACCUAAUAUAAAUGUAUUUAGAACAUGGAAUUUUACAUGUUGAUUCAAAAGAAGCCAAAGAGUUGCGAUUAAAGGCAUCUAAUUACACCAUAAUAAAUGGGUAGUUAUAUAAAAGAGGGGUGUCACAGCCAUUACUCAACACUCUGAUCCUAUUUGUUUUCUUACUUAAUUGUCAUUCACAGCCUCUCAUUCUCGCGCUACUUUUGUCCGCUUCUCCCUCUGCUCGUGCUGCCAUCGUCAGCCUCUCCUUCUACUUGAGCUGUCAUCAUUUGCCUCUAUGUCCUUCAUCUUUCCUCUUCUGAGUCUGGAUCUGUUUAUGCUCUAUGUUUGUAAUUCCUAUGCCGUUGCUUCAAAUCUUCCUUCUUCCAUUCAAUUCCUACUCUACCAGGUACUCAAAUCCAAGGAAGACAAGCCAUACUACUUUGUAUUUUGAUAAUUAUGUACUUUUUUUAUGCUCUUAUUAAAAGAAAGAAAAUCAAUUGGGCUUAUUUUGUGAGAUCUCAUAUGUUGCAAUGCCGAAGAGAUGACAAAGGUCUAGUAUAUCCCUUGGCAAUUAUGAGAAUUUUGAAGAAAUAUCGCAUAGACUUUGAGCAUGAACAAAGAGUCUAUAAGAUAUUUUCAUGGCCUAUUGGAACUCACACUUUUAGAGAAGGAAAGAAAGAUGAUAAAGGGAGCUCAAGUACACAACCACCACCUACAUCUCCACCAAUAAUUCAAGAAUGCAUGGAUAAUAUUGAACAAGUGAGACUUCAUCAAUUUUCUCUCUAUACCACCAUGACAAGAAACUAUGAAGAGCAAAUGAAGGCGUUACAAAAGUAAGGAAGGAUGCUUCAAAAUCAACAACAAUUGGAUGUAAUGUUUGCUCACUUUGGAAUUCACAAGCCACUACCUCAAGAAUGAAGACUUGUGGAUGAAUGAUGGUUGUUGGUGAAGCAUGGAGAACUUUAUAUCUUGCACUUUAUAUCUUUAUGUUUAUGGACUAAUGCCAUUAACCUUAGGUUUUUCAUUAUGCCUUAUGAUCUUAUUUAGUUGAAUGCUUAAACUUGGUUAUAUUUGCUUGUUUAUGGUUAAA